UGCCUUCAUGAGGAGGAGUGGACUGGGGGCUCCAGUGGGAUGUCAGAGAAGCAUCUGUAGAGAAUUUGGAGAUGGACUGAAGACCCAGAACCAACCUAGUCACUCAUCUGCAUUGUCAGCUUGGGAAUCAUCUGAGAAGCUGACUCUCUGGACCCAAUCAAGCCUUCAGGUGACUGUAGCCCCUGUCAACAUCCUGGGUGCAAUGGAAGGAGAGACCCUGAACCAGUCCACCCAGAUAAGCUGACUCUGGAUUCCUGAGCUGAAGAAACUCAAAGCCUUUACAGCAUACAGGAGAGAAGUAGAUGCAGGCCGUUAUGAAGAGACAAGAACUCCUGUAAGAAGGAUGAGAGCUUGACUCCCUCUUUGGUGACUCAGUGAAUGAAGACAGAGACUUUAACUAUUGCCAGCAGACUACCCCAUUGCCUGACUUGUUUCAAUUCUCUAAGGAUGUUGGUUGAGCAUUCCAAAUGCAGUCAGGAGCACAAGGCAAUCUUCAAUGUCAACUUUUCAGAUCUCUCAAUCAUGAAAAUACUGCAUUUUGCCCAGUUUCCAAGGUUGAA